GUAGCGGCGAGUGAAGCGGCAAAAGCUCAAAUUUGAAAUCUGGCACUUUCAGUGUCCGAGUUGUAAUUUGAAGAAGGUAUCUUUGGGUCUGGCUCUUGUCUAUGUUUCUUGGAACAGAACGUCACAGAGGGUGAGAAUCCCGUGCGAUGAGAUGACCCAGACCUAUGUAAAGUUCCUUCGAAGAGUCGAGUUGUUUGGGAAUGCAGCUCUAAGUGGGUGGUAAAUUCCAUCUAAAGCUAAAUAUUGGCGAGAGACCGAUAGCGAACAAGUACAGUGAUGGAAAGAUGAAAAGAACUUUGAAAAGAGAGUGAAAAAGUACGUGAAAUUGUUGAAAGGGAAGGGCUUGAGAUCAGACUUGGUAUUUUGUAUGUUACUCUCUCGGGGGUGGCCUCUACAGUUUACCGGGCCAGCAUCAGUUUGGGCGGUAGGAGAAUUGCAAAGAAAUGUGGCACUGCCUCGGUAGUGUGUUAUAGUCUUUGUCGAUACUGCCAGCCUAGACUGAGGACUGCGGCUUC
rnacentral:rRNA from 2 species